GGGUUGUGAGGUUAAGCGACUAAGCGUACACGGUGGAUGCCCUGGCAGUCAGAGGCGAUGAAGGACGUGCUAAUCUGCGAUAAGCGUCGGUAAGGUGAUAUGAACCGUUAUAACCGGCGAUUUCCGAAUGGGGAAACCCAGUGUGUUUCGACACACUAUCAUUAACUGAAUCCAUAGGUUAAUGAGGCGAACCGGGGGAACUGAAACAUCUAAGUACCCCGAGGAAAAGAAAUCAACCGAGAUUCCCCCAGUAGCGGCGAGCGAACGGGGAGCAGCCCAGAGCCUGAAUCAGUGUGUGUGUUAGUGGAAGCGUCUGGAAAGGCGCGCGAUACAGGGUGACAGCCCCGUACACAAAAAUGCACAUGCUGUGAGCUCGAUGAGUAGGGCGGGACACGUGGUAUCCUGUCUGAAUAUGGGGGGACCAUCCUCCAAGGCUAAAUACUCCUGACUGACCGAUAGUGAACCAGUACCGUGAGGGAAAGGCGAAAAGAACCCCGGCGAGGGGAGUGAAAAAGAACCUGAAACCGUGUACGUACAAGCAGUGGGAGCACGCUUAGGCGUGUGACUGCGUACCUUUUGUAUAAUGGGUCAGCGACUUAUAUUCUGUAGCAAGGUUAACCGAAUAGGGGAGCCGAAGGGAAACCGAGUCUUAACUGGGCGUUAAGUUGCAGGGUAUAGACCCGAAACCCGGUGAUCUAGCCAUGGGCAGGUUGAAGGUUGGGUAACACUAACUGGAGGACCGAACCGACUAAUGUUGAAAAAUUAGCGGAUGACUUGUGGCUGGGGGUGAAAGGCCAAUCAAACCGGGAGAUAGCUGGUUCUCCCCGAAAGCUAUUUAGGUAGCGCCUCGUGAAUUCAUCUCCGGGGGUAGAGCACUGUUUCGGCAAGGGGGUCAUCCCGACUUACCAACCCGAUGCAAACUGCGAAUACCGGAGAAUGUUAUCACGGGAGACACACGGCGGGUGCUAACGUCCGUCGUGAAGAGGGAAACAACCCAGACCGCCAGCUAAGGUCCCAAAGUCAUGGUUAAGUGGGAAACGAUGUGGGAAGGCCCAGACAGCCAGGAUGUUGGCUUAGAAGCAGCCAUCAUUUAAAGAAAGCGUAAUAGCUCACUGGUCGAGUCGGCCUGCGCGGAAGAUGUAACGGGGCUAAACCAUGCACCGAAGCUGCGGCAGCGACGCUUAUGCGUUGUUGGGUAGGGGAGCGUUCUGUAAGCCUGCGAAGGUGUGCUGUGAGGCAUGCUGGAGGUAUCAGAAGUGCGAAUGCUGACAUAAGUAACGAUAAAGCGGGUGAAAAGCCCGCUCGCCGGAAGACCAAGGGUUCCUGUCCAACGUUAAUCGGGGCAGGGUGAGUCGACCCCUAAGGCGAGGCCGAAAGGCGUAGUCGAUGGGAAACAGGUUAAUAUUCCUGUACUUGGUGUUACUGCGAAGGGGGGACGGAGAAGGCUAUGUUGGCCGGGCGACGGUUGUCCCGGUUUAAGCGUGUAGGCUGGUUUUCCAGGCAAAUCCGGAAAAUCAAGGCUGAGGCGUGAUGACGAGGUACUACGGUGCUGAAGCAACAAAUGCCCUGCUUCCAGGAAAAGCCUCUAAGCAUCAGGUAACAUCAAAUCGUACCCCAAACCGACACAGGUGGUCAGGUAGAGAAUACCAAGGCGCUUGAGAGAACUCGGGUGAAGGAACUAGGCAAAAUGGUGCCGUAACUUCGGGAGAAGGCACGCUGAUAUGUAGGUGAAGUCCCUCGCGGAUGGAGCUGAAAUCAGUCGAAGAUACCAGCUGGCUGCAACUGUUUAUUAAAAACACAGCACUGUGCAAACACGAAAGUGGACGUAUACGGUGUGACGCCUGCCCGGUGCCGGAAGGUUAAUUGAUGGGGUCAGCGCAAGCGAAGCUCUUGAUCGAAGCCCCGGUAAACGGCGGCCGUAACUAUAACGGUCCUAAGGUAGCGAAAUUCCUUGUCGGGUAAGUUCCGACCUGCACGAAUGGCGUAAUGAUGGCCAGGCUGUCUCCACCCGAGACUCAGUGAAAUUGAACUCGCUGUGAAGAUGCAGUGUACCCGCGGCAAGACGGAAAGACCCCGUGAACCUUUACUAUAGCUUGACACUGAACAUUGAGCCUUGAUGUGUAGGAUAGGUGGGAGGCUUUGAAGUGUGGACGCCAGUCUGCAUGGAGCCGACCUUGAAAUACCACCCUUUAAUGUUU
rnacentral:rRNA from 1 species